GAAAUGACGGAAUGACAGCAAACACAAUGCAAUUUCCAAUAUAAUCAAUAUUUCCGAAUGGCAUAACUCUUUUAAAGAAUAGUUGAUAUGCACUGAUUUUCGAGCGUGUCCAUACGAUAUCAGUUUUAUAGAAAGUUAACAAGAAUUGUACACUUGAAAAAUUUAAUUAACCAGAAGGACCGGAAGGACAGACAGAGGAAUGGACGUGCGAUAUUUUAUGUACGCGCUAUAUGGUGAAAAAAAUAUAUAGUUAUUGACCAACGCUAUGAGAUAAGGAUUUUAAUCGCAACUAGUCCAAUCGUAUUUGCCAAAUAAAAAAAAAAAAAAAGUUAUAGUUUCAUUGUUUGGACAAAAUCAUUCUUUAGCAAAUUGAAGACUUCUCCUUUAUAAGAUUUUGCUUUUGUUUUCUG
rnacentral:lncRNA from 1 species